GACGAACGCUGGCGGCGUGCUUAACACAUGCAAGUCGAACGGAAAGGCCCUGCUUUUGUGGGGUGCUCGAGUGGAGAACGGGUGAGUAACACGUGAGUAACCUGCCCUUGACUUUGGGAUAACUUCAGGAAACUGGGGCUAAUACCGGAUAGGAGCUCCUGCUGCAUGGUGGGGGUUGGAAAGUUUCGGCGGUUGGGGAUGGACUCGCGGCUUAUCAGCUUGUUGGUGGGGUAGUGGCUUACCAAGGCUUUGACGGGUAGCCGGCCUGAGAGGGUGACCGGCCACAUGGGGACUGAGAUACGGCCCAGACUCCUACGGGAGGCAGCAGUGGGGAAUAUUGCACAAUGGGCGGAAGCCUGAUGCAGCAACGCCGCGUGCGGGAUGACGGCCUUCGGGUUGUAAACCGCUUUCGCCUGUGACGAAGCGUGAGUGACGGUAAUGGGUAAAGAAGCACCGGCUAACUACGUG
rnacentral:rRNA from 1 species